GACGAACGCUGGCGGCGUGCUUAACACAUGCAAGUCGAACGAAGAGCGAUGGAAGCUUGCUUCUAUCAAUCUUAGUGGCGAACGGGUGAGUAACGCGUAAUCAACCUGCCCUUCAGAGGGGGACAACAGUUGGAAACGACUGCUAAUACCGCAUACGAUCUAAUCUUGGCAUCGAGGAUAGAUGAAAGGUGGCCUCUACAUGUAAGCUAUCACUGAAGGAGGGGAUUGCGUCUGAUUAGCUAGUUGGAGGGGUAACGGCCCACCAAGGCGAUGAUCAGUAGCCGGUCUGAGAGGAUGAACGGCCACAUUGGGACUGAGACACGGCCCAGACUCCUACGGGAGGCAGCAGUGGGGAAUCUUCCGCAAUGGACGAAAGUCUGACGGAGCAACGCCGCGUGAGUGAUGACGGCCUUUCGGGGUUGUAAAAGCUCUGUUAAAUCGGGACGAAAAGG
rnacentral:rRNA from 1 species